CGGAAUAUAGCGCAGCUUGGUAGCGUGCCAUCUUGGGGUGAUGGAGGUCGCAGGUUCAAAUCCUGCUAUUCCGA
rnacentral:tRNA from 5 species